UAGGUGUGCUCUAUUAUGAUGCUGCCACUGAUGGAGAAACUCUGUGUGUGGCGGCUGUUACCAAGUGGUUUGCAGUCCAGCUAGGGCAGGGAGGCUAACAUGCACAGUUGUGACCCAUGUGGAACAAGCUACGACUGCGGGGCAUGGGGGCAGUGUUUGGAAGGGCCCUCGUGACCCCCAGGUGGACCAGCCAGCAGGACCCCAUGGUGGGGAAUUGGUGUCGCCUGUCUGCUAGUGCAGGCGAUCCAGAUCCGCCCUCUUGGUGGUCCGGCAGGGAUGGCGGGCGGUGUCAGGGCAGACUCUGUGGGGAAGACCAGCUGAGCCUUAGCAGAGAGCUGAAACUGGGGCAGGUAGGACGGGACUCGUUCAGAACCACCUCCUUCUCCAUUUCUUUCCCUGCUUUUGGCACCUAAUCUCUCCCCCUUUCUAAUAUUAUGGCUUUUGUGAACGUGUGUUCUUGUAAACUUUGUACCCUUGCUUCAUGUGCAGCUAUUUUUAAUUCACAUCAAGGCAUCCUGUGCCCUGCCGUUCUGUUUCUUUUUCUCCUCUCUGCACUGUGUGUGAGGUCUGUUCCAUUGCGGUGUCUACACAGUCCUGCACUUCCUUCUUGCUGCCACACUGGGGUGCCCCCCACAUUCACCCAUGCAUUCCCCAAGGAGGAGACCCCUACAUGCCCUGUGACCCGAGCCAACAUAUCUAUGGGGAUAAAACUCUGGAGCCAUGUGGCUGGGUCCUCCUAGGGCAUGUGUAUGCUUAGUGACUUAAUUACUGCCCGGCUCUCACAGGCUUGCCCCAGGCUGGUUUCCACCAUUGUAUUCAGAAGGGGUCCUGCGUGCCCAGCUCCGCCCCACACUUGGCAUUUCCCGCUCUCUACAGUGUGCCAGUCUGUACAGGAAUCCUGCCCUGCCCUAAGUCACAAAGAUAUUUGCCUACGUUUUCUUCGAGUCGCUUUAUGGUUUUACCUUUCACAUUUUUAUUGAGUGCCUGACAAGACCCAGUGAGUGGAAGGCAGUCGAGAAAGAACAGUGAAGAAAGACAAAGGUGCAUACUUUUGCGGCACCAUUGGAAGAAACAAACAGUGGCUCUGCUCUUAGGAUGACCGCCAGCGCCCUGCUCAGGGAGUGGGAAAGCCACAUUGCUCUGCUGCUGUGUGGUUUAUGGAGAUGGAAGCAGUGAAACCUGAUGAAUGUCCCCGUGUGUGGACUGAAGUGAUGGUCUGUCACAAGCCCAUAUGUAGCCUUCCAUUGAGCAAAGGACAGCAGGGCCGAUGUUGCUGGAGCAUCUCAGUGCCUAUUGUCAUGAGCACUCCCCUUUCCCCUUGGGCCCGGCAUUUAAACCUAAAACACAUGCUUCCAGGAACAACCUUCGUAUUCCUUGCUGCUUUUCAGAUUUCAAGAGUUGUCAUUUAAAUAUGAACAUUAUCUAUUUGUCGUGAGGUGGAUGGACCUAGAGUCCGUCAUACAGAGUGAAGUAAGUCAGAAAGAGAAAAAUAAAUACCGUAUGCUAACACAUAUAUAUAUGGAAUCUAAAAAAAAAAAUGGUUCUGAAGAACCUAGAGGCAGGGCAGGAAUAAAGAUGUAGACAUAGAGAAUGGACUUGAGGAUACGGGGAGGGGGAAGGGUAAGCUGGGACGAAGUGAGAGAGUGGCACUGACAUAUGGAUACUACCAAAUGUAAAAUAGAUAGCUAGUAGGAAGCAGCCGCAUAGCACAGGGAGAUCAGCUUGGUGCUUU